rnacentral:sRNA from 1 species
GGAGUAUGAUGGAAGGUCUGAUCUUCAUGUUGGAAUAACUAACACAAAUGGGGUUGUGUAUAAUUACAGCGCACAUGGUGUCCAGCGAGAUGGAGCAGGGUGGGAACAGAGCAUAAGCAUCCCAUUACUGCAGCCCAACAUGUACGGAAUGAUGGAGCAAUGGGACAAGUACCUGGAAGACUUCUCCACCUCGGGGGCCUGGCUGCCUCACAGGUAUGAAGACCACCACCAUAACUGCUACACUUAUGCACUCACGUUCAUUAACUGCAUUCUGAUGGCAGAAGGUAGACAGCAACUGGACAAGGGUGAAUUUACGGAGAAAGCAAUGAAAAUUAUUCCUAUAAAUUAAUGUGAGCUGAACAAAUUCACCUUCCAAUGUGCAUACAGAAAGUGGGGAUGUGAAGACGGCAAGUGACUAUAAGACGUGUGACGGCCCAAGACUGAAUCCAGAAGCAGAUGCAACAAUCUAGCUGACUUUCAGGAAAUCAGACCUUA